GUCCACGCCUUAAACGAUGGAUGUUCGGUGUCGGUUCGCAAGGAUCGGUGCCUGAGCCAACGCGUUAAACAUCCCACCUGGGGAGUACGAUCGCAAGGUUGAAACUCAAAGGAAUUGACGGGGCCCGCACAAGCAGUGGAGAAUGUGGUUCAAUUCGAUGCAACGCGAAGAACCUUACCUGGGUUUGAAAAGCUAGUGACAUCCGAUGAAAGUCGGCUUCCCCGCAAGGGGCACUAGUACAGGUGCUGCAUGGCUGUCGU
rnacentral:rRNA from 1 species